rnacentral:lncRNA from 1 species
GAAUUCUGUCCAGUGAAUCUAUUCAGGACUUCUGCCUGAACCACAGGCUGCCACUGUGAGUUACAGUAUGCCACUGUGACUCUGACCACUUGUUCCUGACCCAUUUGAUGUGAAUCCCCUCUCACGGACCUUCCAUGAAUCAGACGUACCAAUCUCACUCUUGCUGGUUCAAGACUUUUGGGUUUACUGUUCUCCUUGCUGGAGUGACCCGCCCAUAGAUGUGACUGCUGCCUCUGAAGACUGUCAUCCGCCCGCCACUCAUGGUCACAUACAUUGCCAGCUUUGGAGAGGAUCAGAUCAGAAGGAGCAAAGUGCUCAGCUAGACUGAAGUGGGGCUUCUCCUAAACGCUUCAUUUCGUCGGUUGCCACAGAAGAUGUCCAAGAAUGGAAGCGAAGAUCUUUGCUGACCACAGCACCUGUACCAUGUUCCCGGAGUUUAGAGCUUCUUUUCUGUUUGAACAGCAAGCUCGGUACUUGCAUCGUAUUAUCGCCAUGGAAAAACACAAACAUCCAUUCAGCUUCUUCCCAGGAGGCCAACUGAGAAGCAAGUCCCACAAUUCCUUGCAAAGAUGGCGCUUUCCUCAUCCUGUGGGCGUGGCCGCAGGGUUGAUCCCCCACACACACAGAGGGCAACGUGAGUCUCCUGAAACGUGUCUAAUGGCACUGGUGUGGGCACGUGGAACCCAGGCUUGAUGGAGUUAACGAUCAUCUCAGACCAUUGAGCCGCAAUGAGAGAGAUGCGUUGGCUGUGAGGAGGAGGAGCCGUGGGUCUGAGGAGCAGGGCAAGAGGCUGCAAAAGCUUCUUACAGCCCGCACCUUGGUGACCACUCUCAGUGGGAGACGCAGAGCUGCCUCCAACAAUCGGGCUCAUGUCAGGGAACGAGUGCUGCCUCUUUCGAAGUCCUCCUCCCAUAGCUCCACAUCUGUGUCCCUUUGUGUUGUGUGACUGUGACUGAGACUCCCUGGCCAACACCGAGUCUCAUAGCCACCACCUUCAAGUUUAGGGUUGGAAUCAAUGUAUCCUAAAGCUGCUUCCAGGAAACAGUAGAGAUGCUUUUUUUUUAAAAAAGCCUUCACUUUUUUAUUCUUUGUGCACAAAGACUAGCACAGUCGGUCUCACUGGGUAGACAGUAAACUAAUCCAUUCAGGUCGCUUUAUCCAACUUGAUGAAGCCUACGUCUUUCCCGCGCUGAGGGAAGCACUAACUGCACACGCUCAGCCUGUAUUUACAGAUCAGACCACGGCGGUUAGAGCAGACGAGGCGAGAGCGAGAACCCUGGCCGAGCUUCCGUGGGUGACUCCAGUACUUAAGGACAACCAGGACGCUGUCCUGGUUGUGGGAAUAGGAGCUAGGUAGUCCAAAGAAAACAUCAUCUGCCCACUCCUGUUACUCAAGGUGGACUUUCAGGCCUCAGGACUUUAAAUCGGGAAGAUAAUUUUGAAGAUUUCAGGGAGGAGAGAUCCCUAGAUAACCCCCUCACCAGCAGCCCACUCCACUCGCAGUAGGAGCCAUCUGGUCUGGAUUUAUCUGUUGUAUCCACGCUGC